rnacentral:rRNA from 1 species
GACGAACGCUGGCGGCGUGCUUAACACAUGCAAGUCGAGCGGUAAGGCCCUUUCGGGGGUACACGAGCGGCGAACGGGUGAGUAACACGUGGGUGACCUGCCCUCAGCUCUGGGAUAAGCCUGGAAACCGGGUCUAAUACCGGAUAUGACUCCAUGACGCAUGUUGUGGGGGUGGAAAGCCUUGUGCGGCUGAGGAUGGGCCCGCGGCCUAUCAGCUUGUUGGUGGGGUGAUGGCCUACCAAGGCGACGACGGGUAGCCGCCUGAGAGGGCGACCGGCCACACUGGGACUGAGACACGGCCCAGACUCCUACGGGAGGCAGC